UACGUAGGUGGCAAGCGUUAUCCGGAUUUAUUGGGCGUAAAGGGAACGCAGGCGGUCUUUUAAGUCUGAUGUGAAAGCCUUCGGCUUAACCGGAGUAGUGCAUUGGAAACUGGGAGACUUGAGUGCAGAAGAGGAGAGUGGAAUUCCAUGUGUAGCUGUGAAAUGCGUAGAUAUAUGGAGGAACACCGGUGGCGAAAGCGGCUCUCUGGCCUGUAACUGACACUGAGGCUCGAAAGCGUGGGGAGCAAACAGG
rnacentral:rRNA from 1 species